rnacentral:rRNA from 1 species
UACGGAGGGGGCAAGCGUUGUUCGGAAUCAUUGGGCGUAAAGGGCGCGUAGGUGGUUCUGUAUGUCUACUGUGAAAGCGUACAGCUCAACUGUAUUUUGUCGGUAGAAACUGCAGGACUUGAGGCUGGGAGGGGCUGGUGGAAUUCCCUGUGUAGCGGUGAAAUGCGUAGAGAUGGGGGAGAACACUCGUGGCGAAGGCGGCCAGCUAGACCAGUUCUGACACUGAGGCGCGACAGCGUGGGGAGCAAACAGG